UACGAAGGGGGGCUAGCGUUGCUCGGAAUCACUGGGCGUAAAGGGUGCGUAGGCGGGUCUUUUAAGUCAGGGGGUGAAAUCCUGGAGCUCAACUCCAGAACUGCCUUUGAUACUGAGGAUCUUGAGUUCGGGAGAGGUGAGUGGAACUGCGAGUGUAGAGGUGAAAUUCGUAGAUAUUCGCAAGAACACCAGUGGCGAAGGGCGGCUCACUGGCCCGAUACUGACGCUGAGGCACGAAAGCGUGGGGAGCAAACAGGG
rnacentral:rRNA from 1 species